GAUGAACGCUAGCGGCAGGCUUAAUACAUGCAAGUCGAGGGGCAGCAGGGGUGUAGCAAUACACUCGCUGGCGACCGGCAAACGGGUGCGGAACACGUACGCAAUCUACCCAAAACUGGUGAAUAGCCCUCCGAAAGGAGGAUUAAUACACCGUAACUUAAGGAAGUGGCAUCACUAUCUUAAUAUAGCUCCGGCGGUUUUGGAUGAGCGUGCGCCUGAUUAGGAGUUGGCGGGGUAACGGCCCACCAAGCCUACGAUCAGUAACUGGUGUGAGAGCACGACCAGUCACACGGGCACUGAGACACGGGCCCGACUCCUACGGGAGGCAGCAGUAAGGAAUAUUGGUCAAUGGACGCAAGUCUGAGCCAGCCAUGCCGCGUGAAGGAUGAAGGUCCUCUGGAUUGUAAACUUCUUUUAUCUGGGACGAAACCCGGGAAUUCUUUCCCGAUUGACGGUACCAGAGGAAUAAGCACCGGCUAACUCCGUGCCAGCAGCCGCU
rnacentral:rRNA from 1 species